GUGCUCGAAACCCCCCAACAACUUCGAAGGAUACUUUAUUAAUUAAAGUGCACCGCCCAAGACACUUUUGUCGGCUGUUGAUAGUCCAAGCCCAAGUAACAAUAAUAUUUGGUUGUUUGUUUUAGUGUUCCAAGGCACCGCCCCUAGUAUCCAAUCAAUACGUAAAGGGUGUUUAAAUCAGUCACAUUAAAAGCACAGCCCAAAGCACUAUCAAUUAAUGUUGUUGGUGUCAAUUAAUCAAGGAUCACGGCCACCGCCAAGAAAAUAAUCAUUUUGAGUCCUCACAAUUCUUGUUUGUUCUGCCCAAGAAAACAAAUACCUUUGUUGACUUUUGUUGGAUACAAGAUAAGGCACCACCCACAAUAAGCCAAUAAGUUUUGUUGUUUGUUGUUUAUGUUCACUCCCCAAAGCAACGACAAAUGCUUGUGA
rnacentral:lncRNA from 1 species